rnacentral:lncRNA from 1 species
CCGUGCUUUUUGAUGGGAGUAAGAAAUUGGUCGAAGGUGGACCUUGGUCUCUUUGGCUUGUUUCCUUCUCAACUUAAAAUAGGGUAGAGGGCUGUCUCAAAAGAUGCGAAGAGGAAAAGGGCAAAAAGCAAAAGAAGGGACUCUCAUCACAUGGCCGAGGAGUUGGCUAAGGGCCAGGCUUCACUCGGCUCAGCCUCCGGCUCCCCCAUUCUGGCGUUGUUUAAUGUUAGUGGAUCAUUUACAAAUCGGCUCUUC